rnacentral:rRNA from 1 species
UACGAGGGGGGCGAGCGUUGUUCGGAAUUAUUGGGCGUAAAGGGUGCGUAGGCGGUUCCGCAAGUCCUGUGUGAAAUCUUCGGGCUCAACUCGAAGUCUGCACGGGAAACUGCGGGGCUUGAGUGUGGGAGAGGUGAGUGGAAUUCCCGGUGGAGCGGUGAAAUGCGUAGAGAUCGGAAAGAACACCAACGGCGAAAGCACUCUGCUGGGCCGACACUGACACUGAGAGACGAAAGCUAGGGGAGCGAAUGGG